AAAUCCAGCACGUGUAGCGGCUAACCACCGGCACGGAACUAAACAUGCGUAUGAGGAGGCAACGAAUUAUACGAAGCCAUGGGGAGGGCAGAAUGUCAGCCACAACGCAAGUGAAGGUAUUGAGCCCCGAAAUUAUCCUUAUUGCAUUGGGUCAAGGGUUUCAUUUCCUGGAAACCAAUAUCAGGACACACGAUAAAGGUGAGAGUGUCA
rnacentral:ncRNA from 1 species